ACCAUUGCCCUUGAAGGAGACGGGGAGAUAAGACAGGGGAAAGGACAGUACACGGUGAAGUUUAUAAUGAGGCGAGGUAUAACCGGUCUGGAAGAAAACCAAACCAGUCCCAUUCACUCCUAGUCAAACAAGUAGGGCAAAACUGGUGCUCCCAGCAGCAGGAGAAUGGGGACUCUGGGUCUGGAUCUGGCCCUGAAUUUUAUUUUCCUCUACAGCAAGCACCCCAAACAGCAAGUCAGGACAUCUGAGUCUUUCAGCCAGAGCCAGGGUCUGAAUUUAGCAUUGCCUUCAAAAUAUACAGUACCAUGAUGCUGCUGUAUCACAGCAAGACAUUCAACCAGCUGGUCAUAAAAUGGAAUAUAUUUUUUAGAGAUAUGUACUGUUACCGAGUCUGAUUUUUUAGAGCUAAAUCAUAUUCCUCCCAUUUACCCCAUUACAAGCAUGUGCUCUGAAUAGUUCCAGAAAAGUUUUUUAAAUGCUCUAACCUAUGAAAUUAAAAUUAUAUCAACAUCUGCUAAGACAAGUGUGACUUUUUUACUGCAUUUAUUUCCUAGAGGAUUAUUUGGUGAUAUUGGGAUUGACUGUUCUCUAUUUAAUAUCCCAAAAUCUUUUCCAGGGUAAUGAGACAGGUAGCAAAACUUCUGAAAGACCAUAGUCAUUGUAUACUCUGCAAGCUUGGAUACAGAACACAGACAGACACCAGAAUUAACUUUCUGUUAGAGGAUUGCUCCCCCUGACUGCCCUCCUCAGUGAAUACCAUAUUCCCUGAAUAGCCACCAGAAACAGGCAGAAAUUUGGGAUUCUUCAUUCCUGGCCAUACGUUACAUCGGACAGCUCUGUAUGUUAUCAUGAUUCAUCAGGAUCCCAGAUGAUGACGUGGGAAAAGUACCUACAGAUAUUUGACCAUUAGCUCUCUCCAAAGCAAAGAGAUUUCAUUCAAAAUAUGCAGUUGAAGAUAUCUCCAGGACAACAUAUUUAAUGCUGAGAUACACUGGAAGAUCUCUGGAGUUCAAAAGGAGUCUUACACAGAGGACUGUGGGUCUUCGGUGUGUCUAUGUCUGGUGCAGCUGGGAGAAAGAACUGAGAACCUACAUCUCUGUACUGGAGAGAAUGACCCUGCACCAGGACUGAAAAGGACCAUAACAUCAUCCUCAUCUGUAAUGUCUGUACUACUGAGAUACUGAGGCUGAGGAAAUUGUUUAUCAAACUCAUAUUUCCAACAAACAUAUGUCUGUGAAGUAAAGCAGAGUUACUCCCUGAGGAUCUAAUAUUAAAAAAAUUCCCUGAAUAGAUUGUAGCUGUGUGUUUUCUACUAUCCCUCCCUAUAAAGUGGAGUAUGGAUUAGUAUGCACUAUUUAUAGA
rnacentral:lncRNA from 1 species